UACGUAGGGUGCAAGCGUUAAUCGGAAUUACUGGGCGUAAAGCGUGCGCAGGCGGUCUUUUAAGUCAGAUGUGAAAUCCCCGGGCUUAACCUGGGAACUGCGUUUGAAACUGGAAGGCUAGAGUGUGGCAGAGGGGGGUGGAAUUCCACGUGUAGCAGUGAAAUGCGUAGAUAUCUGGAGGAACACCGGUGGCGAAGGCGGCGUUCUGGACUGCUACUGACACUGAGGAACGAAAGCCAGGGGAGCAAACGGG
rnacentral:rRNA from 1 species